AUGGUGUUGCAUUGCAUGGCAUUGCAUGGUACAGCACAACACACACUGCAUUGCAUGGCAUUGUACAGCACAGCAUUGCGUGGGGUAGCAUGGCCACGACAUGACACAGCACAGCAUUGCAUGGCACCACUUGGCAUGGCUAGAGGCACAGUGAAGCUGUGUAAGUUCAUUUACAUGCACACCCGUGUGCACAUCUGUGCACUUAUGCUUACCUCUGCUCACACAUCAGUGCACACGUACACACACAUGCAUUUGCACACACACACCUGUUCACACACGAGUGCUUGCACACUUGUGAGCAUACACUUAUCUGCUCACACGCAUCUGCACACACAUCUUUGUACCCAGCUCUGGCACAGCACGGCACGGUAUGAUAUGGGACGGUGUGGUAUGGCAUGGCAUGGCAUGGUACAGCACAGCAAACUGUAUGUGUAUGUAGGUGCUAGUGUGUACACACUCCUGCACACACAUCUGCAUGCAUGGUUCUGCACAUACAGCAGCAUAUGCACCUGUGUACACACACCUAGCUGUGUGUGCACUCUUCUAUGUGCACACAGCCUGUACAUGUGCACCAUCACACUACUCCUGUGCUGCUCACACUAUAGAUGUGUGUAUGCCCACACACACCAAUACACACACACAGACUCAUGGAAUUUCCUGAGUUGGAAGAGACCCACAUGGAUCAUUGCAUCCAACUCCUGGCUCACCGUCAGCACCCACUGCACACUCCUGACACACAUCAACACUUGCACACCCACACACACCACUGCACACAGCAGCACCAACCAAGGCACAGCUGCACACAGCAGCAUGCACAGCCCCGCACGAGCACUGCACACUCACAGCUGCUCACAAAUGUUCCAGCACAGAUCAGAGGGCAGAAGUCUUUGCACACAUCUGAAGGCGCACACGUGUGCACACGCAGCAGUGGCACCUCCAUGCAGGCAGUGCACAUGUGGGUGCACACACACACCCUGCCGUGCACUGUGCAGCCCACAGACCCGGCUGCGAUGUUGGGUUGCAGAAAAUGCUCAGCUCUGA
rnacentral:lncRNA from 1 species